GAUGAACGCUAGCUACAGGCUUAACACAUGCAAGUCGAGGGGAAACGAUAGAGAAAGCUUGCUUUUUCUAGGCGUCGACCGGCGCACGGGUGAGUAACGCGUAUCCAACCUGCCCAUCACUUGGGGAUAACCUUGCGAAAGUAAGACUAAUACCCAAUGACGUCUCUAGAAGACAUCUGAAGGAGAUUAAAGAUUUAUCGGUGAUGGAUGGGGAUGCGUCUGAUUAGCUUGUUGGCGGGGUAACGGCCAACCAAGGCGACGAUCAGUAGGGGUUCUGAGAGGAAGGUCCCCCACAUUGGAACUGAGACACGGUCCAAACUCCUACGGGAGGCAGCAGUGAGGAAUAUUGGUCAAUGGACGAGAGUCUGAACCAGCCAAGUAGCGUGCAGGAUGACGGCCCUAUGGGCUGUAAACUGCUUUUAUAAGGGAAUAAAGUGAGCCACGUGUGGCUUUUUGCAUGUACCUUAUGAAUAAGGACCGGCUAAUUCCGUGCCAGCCGCCGCAGUAA
rnacentral:rRNA from 1 species